rnacentral:rRNA from 2 species
UCCAGACUCCUACGGGAGGCAGCAGUGGGGAAUAUUGCACAAUGGGCGCAAGCCUGAUGCAGCCAUGCCGCGUGUAUGAAGAAGGCCUUCGGGUUGUAAAGUACUUUCAGCGGGGAGGAAGGUGUUGUGGUUAAUAACCGCAGCAAUUGACGUUACCCGCAGAAGAAGCACCGGCUAACUCCGUGCCAGCAGCCGCGGUAAUACGGAGGGUGCAAGCGUUAAUCGGAAUUACUGGGCGUAAAGCGCACGCAGGCG